CCUACGGGAGGCAGCAGUGAGGAAUAUUGGUCAAUGGACGAGAGUCUGAACCAGCCAAGUAGCGUGAAGGAUGACUGCCCUAUGGGUUGUAAACUUCUUUUAUAAAGGAAUAAAACGAGGCACGUGUGCCUUUUUGCAUGUACUUUAUGAAUAAGGCUCGGCCAACUCCGUGCCAGCCGCCGCGGUAAUACGGAGGAUCCGAGCGUUAUCCGGAUUUAUUGGGUUUAAAGGGAGCGUAGAUGGGUUGUUAAGUCAGUUGUGAAAGUUUGCGGCUCAACCGUAAAAUUGCAAUUGAUACUGGCAGUCUUGAGUACAGUUGAGGUAGGCGGAAUUCGUGGUGUAGCGGUGAAAUGCUUAGAUAUCACGAAGAACCCCGAUUGCGAAGGCAGCUUACUAAACUGUGACUGACAUUGAUGCUCGAAAGUGUGGGUAUCAAACAGGAUUAGAUACCCGUGUAGUC
rnacentral:rRNA from 1 species